UACGGGGGGGGCAAGCGUUAUCCGGAUUUAUUGGGUUUGAAGGGUGCGUAGGCGGAUCAAUAAGUCAGUGGUGAAAACCUUCAGCUUAACUGGAGACUUGCCAUUGAUACUGUUAGUCUUGAGUAUGGUUAAGGUAGGCGGAAUGUGUAAUGUAGCGGUGAAAUGCUUAGAUAUUACACAGAACACCGAUUGCGAAGGCAGCUUACUGGGCCAUUACUGACGCUGAUGCACGAAAGCGUGGGGAGCGAACAGG
rnacentral:rRNA from 1 species